AGUGGUUAGAGCAGGGGGUUGGGAGCCAGGACAGCUGGAGGCUGUUCCCACCUCUGCCGCUGACUUGCUGUGGUCCAGAGCCCAGGUGUCCCGUUUCCCCGGCACCCUGGGAAUACAUGUGUCAGCAGGGAACAGGACUCUCCCAGUCAGCGUCUCCGAUAGCCCUGGUAAUUGCUGGCUGAAGAGUGGCGCUGGCUGGGACGGGGACACGCCGGGGGGGACCCAGCUGGGCAGCCCAGAGGAGACGACCCUGCAGCUUUCUCCUCUCCCGGCAGGCUCCUCGAGCGGAUGCCGGGCGCAGGAAACGCCUGGCCAGCACCCCCACCGCGAGCAAGCGAGCGGAUAAAGAGAACCUGUACGAUGAGCCAUCGGCUGACCUGUCCGAGAUCGACGCCCGGCUGCAGGCCUUGCAGGAGUACAUGAACAACCUGGACACCAGGACGUAGCCAGCGGAGUGUGGGAGUGGGAGGGCUGGCACGUGGCCCAGGCUCGGAGCCCUCCACGCUGCUCGCAGGGGGACCUGGAGAGGUGGGCCAAGCGACCAGGCCUUGGAGCCCUCCCUGCCGCUCCCAUGGGGCCAAGCCAAGACCUCUCUCCCCCACAGGGACUGUUUGCCCUGCUGUCUCUGGGCUCUACUCCAGGCUGGACAAUAGAAGAUUAGCAAGGUGGAUCUUUGGGAGAGGGGGCUCAGGAUCUUCGUCCCCCCCCUAGCUUGUUCCCAUCAGAAAUCCCCACCUCCACGGGCUGGACAGAAGGCAGGUGGCUUUGUAGUUGUACCCAAGUGCCCAGGAGCAAAGGAUCAUGGGACAUUUCCUCCUGGGAGUGACUCCCUUCACAUUGGUGGCAGCUAGGGGGCGCCUGCCCCACUUUGGCUUGUGGAUUUCUGACCCCUCUGGGAAGGGGGGCGGGGCCCUGUGGAGUGGAGGGUCCUAUGGAGAACUCUGAGCUCAACAGGCAGAUGGGACCCUCUUCCAGCCCCCCCUUUUCUCUCCUGUUUAGCUCAGUUUUACCAGCCUGGGCCAGCCUUGGCCUCUCAACACGGAGCUGGGCUGAGAGGAUCCUCCGGGCCCCCUCGACCCGCCCUUGGGCUGCUGAAACCCCCGGGCGGAUCUCAGCCCUUCACAGCUGCAGCCUCGGCGCCUGACCAUCCCCCACGGGCAGCUUCCCGGCUGUUCCAACCGCACAGCAGAGCCCCCGGGAGGCUGGAAUCCUGCGAUCCGUGGGGAGGGGGCAGCCUCUUAACACGGAGGCCAAGCCAGCUCACGACAGGGGCUACCCCAGAAGCUGUGGCAUGGUCCGAUCUUGCCAAGCCCUCUCCCUGCACCAGCCGCUCCCAGUUAACCACGUCCCACCGGGGCGGGAUGCCUUGCGGCCAGUUUGCCUGCCUGGGCGGGCAGCUGCCCUGCGCUCAAUCCCCUGGUCAGAGCACCCCGGAGGGACACGGCAGGGAAAGGCACCAACCUCUGGCUCGUGCCUGGAGGCAGUGAAACGAGCGAGCUGUUCAGUCUCUGGCCGUUCCAGUGGCUUGAACGGCUUUUAACGCUGGUGCGCGAAAUCUCCCGCGUCUCGGCGGCUGAGGGAGCGUUCCCUGCGCUCCCCCUCAUCUGCUUUCAUUGCAGCACACGGGGCUUCGGGAGACCUUUGGCCAUUAGUCCCUCAGCUGCUCUAAGCCCCCUGCCUGAUUCAUUGGCCUGGAGAAGCCUCAGACCAGCUCAGCAACUGGGCAUUCAGCUGUUAGAGCUAAAAGGCCCAUGGCCAGAGUCUCCCUCAGCAGCCCUGUCUGCUAUGGGAUCUGGUCCCUUCGCUCCAAGGUCAAGCCAGUAGCUACAUCCACAGUGCUGGCCCCUGAGCGGUAUCUGGUUCCUCUCAGUGCCCCGGUGGGCGGCAGGUGUUUGUGCUGUGAUCCUGUGUGCGCCCCAUCCCCCCACGUGCUGUUCUCUGCUAUGUUGUGUGAUGAUCCCUGUUGUAAAUAAACCUUUCUAACUUCCUGCCG